ensembl:lncRNA
UCAGGACCCCUAAAAAAACAGUGAAGCUUCAUUCACCACAAUAUGUACUCUACACAGACUCUGAGUUGGAGUCUGUCCGACGAGAGUACUCAGAGCUGCAAAAAAUAGGGAAAGAAAAAGAAUGCGAAAUGUCCAAAGAUUUAAGGUGCAGAUUAAUUCGUAACACAAUGACAAGCAUGAUCUCCAUCUUGAGGGCAACAGGGGAUGAAGAUUCCCACAAGUAUCCUUCAAAAGAAGAAAUAACAGCUAUGGCGAAAAGAAUCGUUCAGUACUACCCCAUGUUAAAGGAUGAAGAUUUCUCAAAGAAAAAUUAAUGGGUCACAGUUUAUGCACAACUCUAUAAAAGGCUGUGGAACGUCCGAUCCCCCAUUUAAGAGCAGGGGCCCAGCCAAGAAGCUUCGUUUGGGGACUUCAGUUCUGAGUGAGGAGGAGUUUGGCUCCAGCGACUCAACCGUCCUUUUGGACACCAGUGACACCACUGACGACAGUUUUCUGGAUGUUGGCGGUAGCAAAGUUGAUGGAUGAGCUCCGGCGGAUUCUGCAGAGAGAUAACAUGGAUUUCAUAAGCGAAGUUAAAGAGAGAUGGGUAGAGUUCUGCAAACAAGUACAAUUCUACGGGGUGUUCAAGAAGGUUUUGAAAUCCCCAGUGGGGAUGAGCAAAGCUGAGCAAGCAAUCGAACUCAUGCACGCUUUGCCAGCGAUGUUUCCUAGUGCAUCACCACCUCCGAAGAAGAUGCGAGAUGCUAGUGAGGCGUUCAUUCAUGUUCUGAAGGAAAAAGAAGAUCCUGAAUCUUUCUUAAAAAAACGGCAUCUGUCCUGUCCUCUGCUGCUUGUGAGCGCUACCAACUGCAUCCUGGCGGUGGGGGACAAUCCAAUUGCAGAAUUCCAUAACGAUGAUCUCCAUGAGGGUAUGCUGUACAUAAUUGCUCUCUACUAUGCCCUUCACCUGACAUAUCCGAAGUGUGUCAGUACAUUGCUGUCGAUCAUACAGAGUGAGGUGCUAGGUGAUGCACUCCACCCACAAGACCAAACAAGCUCUUUUAAAAAGGGAUUAAGCGAGAUGAGGGCAUUUGUAGGGAACUAAUGCUCAUUGAUUGAAUGCUGGCAAAUUGUUUUAUUAUGUAUGCUGUUGUUUUUACACAUUCAAAUCUUAAAGUGUUACUCCGGCGUUCUGCGACCUAUAGCCAACAUAGACUGAAAUACGACAACAUAGACUGAAUAAUGGCCCAGCCGCUAAAGCUAACCCAGUGGGGCAUUUUCUGUUCAGUGGCAAGAAUGCGGUCAUGUCUCUUGGUGCACUCAGGCAAACUGAUAUGUUUUUAUUUCAUUUUUUACAAAUACUGGUAUGUAAACCACCUUUAUGCUGCCAUGUUUAAUUAUUGUGGUGAUUGUCAUGUGGCUGCAAUAAAUUUUGUCUGAG